rnacentral:rRNA from 1 species
CACGUAGGGGGCUAGCGUUGUCCGGAAUCAUUGGGCGUAAAGAGCGCGUAGGCGGCCAGUCAAGUCCGGUGUGAAAGUCACAGGCUCAACCUGUGAAUGCCGCUGGAAACUGUCUGGCUAGAGUCCGGAAGGGGCGAGUGGAAUUCCUGGUGUAGCGGUGAAAUGCGCAGAUAUCAGGAGGAACACCUAUGGCGAAGGCAGCUCGCUGGGACGGUACUGACGCUGAGGCGCGAAAGCGUGGGGAGCAAACAGG